GAGGUGCGGCAUCCCCGGUUGCAUGCCGACGCCGGAGGAAUAAUAAGGAGGCUUGCGCGGCAGCGCGCUGCUAUUUUUGGUCUUUUGGAAAAUAACGCGCUGCGCCCUUUUUUUCUUUUUCUCCUUGUCUUCUCGCAGUCUUUUCCCCCAUUCUUUCACUAAAAGGCGUGACGGGUCGCUGCCUGCCGUCCGAGCGCGGAGCCGAGCCUCUUGCCUUGGGAUGUCACACGGGACCUGGCUGGGGAGUGCAGCUACGCACACUCCUGGACUCUGCUACGGCACUGGGCCUCAGCCCGCUGCAGCCGGUCUGCAAAUGGAAAGUAGUUUCACCUGUGUCACCUACCCUCCAUCGUUCCCUGUGCUCACAAUGGAAGAUAUUUUGUCACUUGUCAUUGUUUAGAAAAUGCUACGAAUGGAAGGCCCGUGUUUGUUUUUUGUUGGUUUUUUUUUUUUUUAGGGGGUCAGAGAGGGUGGGGUACCUUCACCUAGAAGGAGGGCUGCAAAGCAACAUUAAACAGGAUAGAGUUACACGAGGCCUAACUAGAUGGGUGAGAGGGAGGGAGGGGGAGUUGCAAUAUGUUGUGUAUAUGAUGCUUGAAAACAUUUAGAUACAUAGAUAGGUAUAGGUAUAGAUAGAUGCAGAUAUAGAUGGGUAAAUAGAUGAGAGAGAGGGGGGGAGAGAGAGACAGAAAGUUUCAGGUAAAGUGUAAACCAACAUGGAAUACAGUCAUCGUUACACUUACCAGAAAUUUUUUAUUCAGAUCACAUGAUAUCUCUGUAAGAUGGCCAUGUUCUGAAGGCGAGGAUUUGCAAAGCGAAUUAAGCAUUUUUAGUAGUUUGGCAUGUUGUUAUGUCUCUUUUAAAAUAGCCCUCAGCCUCCUAUUUAUCCCAGUAAUUAUCAAGUCCAGACUUUCCCUUGAAUUUACAUAUGCUUCCUUCUACAAUUACAGUGACAACUGUGGCCCAAAUUAUUAAAAUGGAAAUAAGAUUAAAAAAAAAAUAGGACUAAAUAAUAGGAUUCAUUAUCAACAUAAAUAAAUAUAUGACAAAAAAUGCUCACCUACAAAGUCAGAAUAGCCAAAAUAUGACUUGUAUCAGACAAAAGAAAACCUUUUUUUCUAUUAUGGAUAUACACUUUUUAUGAUGGGUAUAUACUGUGUGCAUCCCUGCAACUGGGGCAGCCUUGCGCUGGACAAAGGAUAGAAGUGCCCUUCUCUGACAGGGAGACUUCCAGCAUUGGCUUCCAUUCACUGAAGUACUUAUGUAAGAACAUAUGUUAAAAUAUUUAAGAAUCAAACCUAUGUCCCUACUCCUAACUUAGGUGUGGCUUUACUUAGACUUCUAACUUGUCCUGAGAGCUUCUAUUUACUGAAAAGGUAAAAUUGAAAUCACGUGUGUUUGCAGGAUGGUGCCUAUGUGUGGUACAUAGUAUUAUUUUAUGUUUAACAUCUCUCAUGCCCAUUCAGCUCAAAUGGCAUUGCAUGUAGGGUGCAGUUUUCAUUAAUGAACAUAUGUUCAUUAAAAACUAAUUAUGGAAAACAGUAUUAACCUUAUUGUAAUAAUUAGCGAUAGCAUAUUUAAACUCUUCUAGAAUAGUUCUGCACAAAAAAAAAAUAAUGAAAGGAUGAGAAAAUUCCAAUUUUCCUCACGAACUCUUAAUUGAGGAAAUAUAAGGGUUAGAAACAGAGAAUAAACCGUAACUGAAGUUACUCAAUGCUUUUUUGAUAAUCAUUUCCUAACGUUAUGGAAAUAUUUUUAUGCAGAUAGCUGCCAAAUAACUAGAUUAUUCCAUUGUAGCCUCAAAUUAGCCGAGUUCUGCAGAAGACAUGUAAAGAAUGACAAAAUUUGGUACUAUUUAAAACACUCUUUAGGACACUCAGCGUGUGCUGAUCAUUUCUCCAGAUGAUGGUGGGGUUUUGGGAAGAGUACACCAUACUGUUCUGAAGAUCCAUUUCUAAGCAAUUUAUGCACAGUUAAUUUGUUUAUGCUUGAAAAAUCACAUCUCUUUUCCUUUAAAAAAUCUGAUAGAGAAUCGCAAAUUUGUAAAAGCCUGUUAAAUUCUAGUCCAUCUGACCUAGUAUGCGAUAGCCCCUCACAGAAAUGGCUCCACAUUUGGAAAAGAUAUCCUUGAAGGAUAUAUAUGCUGAACAUCCAAACUGAAACCCAGCACUGGGGAUGGAGCAAAGAUGUUCUAUUGGCAACUUGUGCAGCUCAUUGUGUGACCGUUCUGAACACCGGCAGUCACCUAUCUGCCACAUGAUCCUUCCCUAAACCAAACCAGGACGGAAGAGAUCACUUGAGGGCUGUAACAAACAAGAAAGAGAAUGUUGCAUAAGAUACUCCGUAGAACUUAAAGCUGGGAAAACAGAAGUGUAGAAGUUUGAGAAACUGAAGGUGAAGAGAGAUGAUAUAUAUGCUUUCCUAACUGAAAGACAGGAAAGAAAAAGCAUGAGAUCCUGAAGGAAGCCACAGUGUUCUCCAGCCAGAUUUCAGCCCAGUACACACCUGGACACACUCUAGGUGCAGCCUUGGAGAACAUUUUUUCUAGAGACUGUGUAUGUCAAGACAGUGCAAAGCAGGUAUUCCAAGGAUUUCAUCCAAGUUGUAAGACUGGUGUUCCAAGGAUUUCAUACAAGUUGCAAGACUGUAAAGAUUUCUAGAAGCAGUUUGCAUCCUGAAAGAAAUUCAAAGGUGGAUGUGGAACUUAGGGACUGUGAAUGCUGAAGUGAAUCCAGAGCAAUAUUGCACAUGAAAACAUUGGGAAGCACUGGAUCAGAAAUAAAAGCUAAAAAUUAAUUUGUAAGACUGUGUCAAAUUGAAAUGUGGAUACAAAUACAGUACGAUACAAUACAAAUGGGGAUUCUUGAAUCAUGAGAAGAAUGAAGACAGAAGUUUGAGCAUGCAGGCUAGACAUUGGAGUUUGAAGCACUGGCAAGACUUGAAUCACUUGAUGGGAGUAGGAAUGGGCAGAAGAGUCUGGAGUGGUAGGGAGGAGGAGUACCAAGGUAGAGCAGAAACUAAGUGAUCUAGAAUGGAUGAUAGGCCAAAAGAAAUCAGUAAGAAUAAAGGUCCUAAGAGUGGAAAGUGGGCAAUGGUAAAAGAGAAACCACGGUGGAGGACAAGUGAUUUGUAAAGGAAAAACAGAGUGUGAGGGGACAAGGAAUGUAAUAGGGGAAGACAAGAGGGAACCUGCAUUAGGCAAAGCUGAAACAGCAGGGAAAUUGCCGUCUUUAUAAAUGUGACUUACUAGAUUUAAGGAGCAGUGACAACAUCUUCCUUAUAGAUGGAGAGGAGAGCAACAACCACAGGGCUCUUUUGACAGGGCACACUUUUCCUGCAUUCUCCUUUCUAAGGUGGGAGAGCACAAAAUGCGUGUACAAAUGCCAUAUUUCUUAGUAGAUGGUAUCGGUUCCAGCUGUAAGAUAACAGUAGCCUCACAGCAGAGCACCAUCCUGGAAAGUUUGUUCCAGCGGGGUCCUCCACACCUGCCAUCUCAAAGAUGAGCAGUCAACCUGAGAGCUAAGGCUGUAUUUUUGAAUUUUCGCAAAGAAGGAAAGUUGAUGGGCAGCACAAGAACAAGCCUAAUUCUUAGGAACAAAAACUGAAUGAAAAAAAUGUUGCAGCCUACAGUCCUGAUGCAAAGAACAAUUUGGUUCAAAUGGGCAACAAAUGAAGGGUUUAUUUUGCUGGAAAACUUUCUAGAUCUAUAACUGCUGCUGAGAAAUAACUAGAAGUGAAUGAACAGCUCAUCCUAUAGGUGUGAUCGGAUAUCAAAGUCUGCCAGCAUGCAGAAAGAAGGAGAAUGUCCUAUUCAAAGUCUUUAAGACACAAUGGCAGAAUUAGAACUUGCUUUGAUUUACUCUUCCUGGAGACCAACAGAUCAGUUUUUAGAGCAACAUGUGUCAGACAUAGUGACUCACAACCACACACUGGCAUCUCUAGUAAAGCAGAGGUUGGUCCAGCAGGAGAUGAAGAGGAAAGAAUCCUGGAUUUUGUAUCUAGUAACCCUAAGAUUGGACAACCCUUAGUAUGCAGUAGACUCGCUUUAUUUUCAGUCCUUUUUAUCUAAAAGGUUGUUCCCACAAUUAAAUACUUUGUUUAAAAAAGAUAUUAAUGGUGUAAGACACAUGGCACCUAACAAGCAAUAAAUGCUUGAUGUACGUGAGGUAAUGGCACAGGUUUUACUAUAGAUGUACAGAUUUUUUCUAAAGGUGGUUAAUGCAAAAUCCUGACCUCAGUUG